AUUGAACGCUGGCGGAAUGCUUUACACAUGCGGGUCGAACGGCAGCACGGGGGCAACCCUGGUGGCGAGUGGCGAACGGGUGAGUAAUACAUCGGAACGUGCCCAGUCGUGGGGGAUAACGUAGCGAAAGUUACGCUAAUACCGCAUACGAUCUACGGAUGAAAGCGGGGGACCGUAAGGCCUCGCGCGAUUGGAGCGGCCGAUGUCAGAUUAGGUAGCUGGUGAGGUAAAGGCUCACCAAGCCGACGAUCUGUAGCUGGUCUGAGAGGACGACCAGCUACACUGGGACUGAGACACGGCCCAGACUCCUACGGGAGGCAGCAGUGGGGAAUUUUGGACAAUGGGCGCAAGCCUGAUCCAGCCAUUCCGCGUGCAGGACGAAGGCCUUCGGGUUGUAAACUGCUUUUGUACGGAACGAAAAGGCUCUGGUUAAUACCUGGGGCUCAUGACGGUACCGUAAGAAUAAGCACCGGCUAACUACGUGCCAGCCGCCGCGGUAA
rnacentral:rRNA from 1 species